rnacentral:lncRNA from 11 species
UUUCUCUUAUAAUAUACAUCAGAAGUCAAUUGUGUGAGACGCUCAUUGCAGAAGAGACUGAAACAAGCUCUGAAAAGGAAAACUACAGCCAUUCCCUCCAGUUUCCCAGACAUCACAGCAAGCCUUCAGCAACCUGUUGGAACAACACACCAAAACUCACCAGAUGACCAAGUGUCAAAUGCUGUAUAAUCUUUGAUACAUUAUUUAGGUGUUUGUUUAUAGCAGGCAGUGGAGGGGAAAUUGGCUAGUUUGAGGUUUGUGGUAGGAAGGACAGAGAUAAACCACAAAGAUCUUGAGUAACUGUGGAGUGAUGACAGAAC